AGCAGGCUAAAAUCAUGAUAGACUUUAAAAAUAAACAAACCUCAAAUUUCUCUUAGCUAAAGCAUGUGGAUUGACUAGAGAAACCAAACAGUACUCUGGGGACGGAUCCUUAGGCAGGUGUGUUGCCAUGUCAGACCCUGCAGAGCUGUGACCUCACUGGGGGGCCUCUCUAUCAUUUGGAUAGCCCAGGUGGAGCUGCGUGCUUUUCAAAUUCAAUGGGCCUGUAAGUUCACAUUCCAACAAGAUAAAGUCCAGUCCACCAGGAAUGAGGGACAUGACAGACAGCCACGUGCUGGGAGAGACACAGAUCUCCAGCAGAAACUUAUUCCUAACAGUGGAAUAGACCUUGGAAGGUGCCUGAAAGAGAGCCCAUUCAGUGGCGUGGAGUGGAUGGGCCAUGCCUUUGGACAGCUGAUCUAAGAGCUGGAAAAGCGCAUCAAGUUGUGGAAAGACAAAAGGAUUUUUAUGGCAGAUAGAAGCUGUACCCUGAAUAUUAAGAACACGAGUGAGAUAAGCAGUUAAUGUGCACACAGCAACUUGCUUCCAUAGGAGAGACACCAAUUUCUCCCCCAGAGAGAUUAAUCUCCUCAUACAUGAGUCAUUCAAGCAUGAAGAAAUAUUCUUUGGACAUGGUGCACCAAAUGGAAGCCCAUACAUCAGACAAUGAUGGUGUAUUAUAUUGAGACGUUUAUAGGACUGGGACAUGCCAGCUGGGAUGUGCAGCUUUAAGGGAAUAAAAAAAAAUAAAUUGCAUUUUAAGGUGGAUCU
rnacentral:lncRNA from 1 species